CAAAGUUUCAGUGCAUUCCGUUGAUGUAGACGGCAUGAAAACGGAAACAACAAGUAUGCCGGCUCACUGUGCUGCAUACAAUUGCACACUGCGUCGUACGAUUGAGACAAGGAAACUUGGAAUGACUUUUCAUAGGUUUCCCAGAGACUAUGGGUUGAGGAGGAAUUGGAAGUUUGUCGGCUUAGACCUGGUGUCAUUCCAUCAGUGUUAAACUUCCCGGCUCAUCUUGGAAGAGUACGUGCCAGAAAGACCACGACCAAGCAGCCUUGAGAUCUUAGACAGCGUCUCCCUGAGACCAAAGAACUACAGACUCUUCACAACCUGCUCAAACUCUUGGUACAGGACCUCACCACACGGGUCAAGAAGGUUUCUGUCUCAUUUCUACUCUGAAGCUCACCUUCUCCUGCUCAAACUGCUGACAAAUGUUUCUGCUGCUCUAAAGUCUGGUCUCCAGAACUUCCUAAAAACUCUCAAAGUCUCUUCUGCUGCAGGUUGCUUUGUAGAACUGUUCCAGAAAACCUCACUAAACCACAUGGAGGGGCCUCAAGAUAGUCGUCCAAAUGAAACCAUACAAAAACCAAACUAGCACAACCCAAACGCUAAAGUCUCCUGCAGCCUACCAGAGAACCUCUGAGAACAGAGAAUCAGGACAGGAACUCUUACCUUCUGGACAACCAACGCUGGUUCACAAACAAGAAUACAGAAUGUGUCUGACCAAAAACCUCUAAAGACUCACUACAGCCAAGAUAAAGACACAACUCAGCUGAACCAAAUCCACUAAUCACUGCACACAUCAGCACCAUGUGCUAACUGUGGCUAAAGAACCACAUUUACCAAGACAACUAUCCAGUACAAAGCCCUAAAACACACCAAGAAACACAUUAAAGACUAUUUUACUGCUGGAAGCUGCAAGCCAACACCUAAAGAAGAAACUAAAGCAAUGGAGCCAAACCCAGUUCACUGGUGAAGAGAAGCAGAGGAAAUGUUUGUCUGCAGCUAAAUAAAGCAGGAAGACAGUGAGCUGCUCAGGUGUUCCUGAUAACACCAAGCAGCCACCUGGACAGCCAAUAGGAACACAGCUUACUGGAAGUCCAGAGGGCUGGGUUAGUGAAGGAAAUUUAAUUUAAAGUUGAAGCAGAAAGUUAACAAUGAAAGUUGAAAACCACCUUCUGAUCCCUGAAAUCUCUGAGUUUUCACACAAAGAACACCUGAACAUGUCAAACUGGUUCCAUAGUAGAACCAUCAUUGUAAAAACGUCAUAGUAUGGUGUGUUGCUCAAAAAACAUUAGGACCUGGCUGUCAGGGGACAAACAUGUAAGAAACAUGAGAACAGAGAGAACCCAACCAGUAGGUCACAGUUUAUCAUCCCCCAGUCAUCUCCUGAAGUCCAUAUGGUGAGAGACAUCAGUAUCUGGUUGUUAAUUUACCAGAGGAUGCUUAUAAUCAUGCUGAUGUGGUCUGUACUCUACAGUAUUUUAGCGACUCAAUAAAUGCCUAAGUUGUU